UACGUAGGGCGCAAGCGUUAUCCGGAAUUAUUGGGCGUAAAGAGCUCGUAGGCGGUGUGUCACGUCGGCCGUGAAAACCUGCAGCUUAACUGUGGGCGUGCGGUUGAUACGGGCAUCACUGGAGUUCGGCAGGGGAGACUGGAAUUCCUGAUGUAGCGGUGAAAUGCGCAGAUAUCAGGAGGAACACCGGUGGCGAAGGCGGGUCUCUGGGCCGAUACUGACGCUGAGGAGCGAAAGCGUGGGGAGCAAACAGG
rnacentral:rRNA from 1 species